rnacentral:misc_RNA from 1 species
AGCAGCCGCGGUAAUUCCAGCUCCAAUAGCGUAUAUUAAAGUUGUUGCAGUUAAAAGCUCGUAGUUGAAUUUCGGGAUCAAAGGAUCGGUCAUGCCUUGGUAUGUACUGGUUUUAUUGGUUCUCACCUUCUAAAGAACCAUAAUGUCAUUCAUUUGAUGUUAUGGGGAAUUAGGACUGUUACCUUGAAAAAUUAGAGUGUUUAAAGCAGGCUUACGCUUGAAUACAUUAGCAUGGAAUAAUGAAAUAGGACAUCAGAUUCUAUUUUGUUGGUUUCUAGGAUCGAUGUAAUGAUUAAUAGGGAUAGUUGGGGGCAUUAGUAUUCAAUUGUCAGAGGUGAAAUUCUUGGAUUUAUUGAAGACUAACUACUGCGAAAGCAUUUGCCAAGGAUGUUUUCAUUAAUCAAGAACGAAAGUUAGGGGAUCGAAGACGAUCAGAUACCGUCGUAGUCUUAACCAUAAACUAUGCCGACUAGGGAUCGGAUGAUGUUAAUUUUAUAAUUGACUCU